CGGGUGAGUAACGCGUGGAUAACCUGCCUCACACUGGGGGAUAACAGUUAGAAAUGGCUGCUAAUACCGCAUAAGCGCACAGUACCGCAUGGUACGGUGUGAAAAACCCAGGUGGUGUGAGAUGGAUCCGCGUCUGAUUAGCCAGUUGGCGGGGUAACGGCCCACCAAAGCGACGAUCAGUAGCCGACCUGAGAGGGUGACCGGCCACAUUGGGACUGAGACACGGUCCAG
rnacentral:rRNA from 1 species